rnacentral:misc_RNA from 1 species
GAUGAAGAACGCAGUGAAAUGCGAUAAGUAAUGUGAAUUGCAGAAUUCAGUGAAUCAUCGAAUCUUUGAACGCACAUUGCGCCCGCCAGUAUUCUGGCGGGCAUGCCUGUUCGAGCGUCAUUUCAACCAUCAAGCCCCCGGGCUUGUGUUGGGGACCUGCGGCUGCCCGCAGGCCCUGAAAACCAGUGGCGGGCUCGCUGUCACACCGAGCGUAGUAGCAUCAUCUCGCUCAGGGCGUGCUGCGGGUUCCGGCCGUUAAAAAGCCUCUAAUACCCAAGGUUGACCUCGGAUCAGGUAGGAAGACCCGCUGAACUUAAGCAUAUCAAUAAGCGGAGGA